rnacentral:rRNA from 1 species
UACGGAGGGGACUAGCGUUGUUCGGAAUUACUGGGCGUAAAGCGCACGUAGGCGGAUUUGUAAGUCAGGGGUGAAAUCCCGGGGCUCAACCUCGGAACUGCCUUUGAUACUGCAAAUCUCGAGUCCGGAAGAGGUGAGUGGAAUUCCUAGUGUAGAGGUGAAAUUCGUAGAUAUUAGGAAGAACACCAGUGGCGAAGGCGGCUCACUGGUCCGGUACUGACGCUAGGCGCGAAAGCGUGGGAG